rnacentral:lncRNA from 1 species
AACACCUCAGGUACCAUCUUCCUGUCAACACAUCCUGCAUUUUUUAAUGCGUGUGUCUGGAAAUGUAUCGUGUUGGACUCAGGAAAUUAUAAUUUAGAUCGAACCUCUUGCAAAUCAUUGCUUCUGAGCUGGCGCUGCCGAUUUUCACAGUUUUGUCUGUCCCUUAUGCUAGGACCGUCCGCCGUUCAUACGAGUCCAUCUGUGAGGAUGUACAUCUUAUGUGUUCCCCACAGUCUGAAGCUUAAAUCCAUGGGAAAUCACCCAGCAUCAUUUCAUGAGUCCCAAACAACAAACACUUCUCAUUUAAUUAAGUUGGUGAUGGGAUUGAUGACAUCAACGGAACCAGUUCCCCUGAGAGUGCAGGGAAGACUCUGGGAGAGUCUUCCGCAGUGGAAGCGCUCCUUGCGGGCCACACCAUGGUCACUGGCCACGUGGAAGAUGCAAAGAUGCGAAACCUGUGAGGACAUCAUUUGGCUACAAGAUCUGGCGCUGAGUAUCUGAGAAUCUUGACGGAAGUGCGAUGCUCCAAGGCGCUGCCUCCCAACCGUGAACAAAUGCAUCUUUGCUCCUGGAGAAAAGCCUUUCUCUGCACCUGCAGCCUGUAGCACCUUGAGCCGUCCUUGUCACAAGGUUCACCGGGGAGUUAGAAGCAGGUUGCCAGGCACUGGGGACAUCUUAUUGCCUUCUGAGGAAUGCAAGGUAUAGAUGUCAGGAAAACGCAAUCACAGAACAAAGAGAAGCUAUGCAUGCACAGAGAAAUCUAUACAAUGUCAAGUUCUCUCCUAUCUUUCUUUUUUUAAAAGAUUUUGUUUAUUUAUUCAUGAGAGACACAGAGAUAGAGGCAGAGGCAGAGACAAAGGGAGAAGCAGGCUCGGGAAGCCUGAUGCAGGACUAGAUCCCAGGACCCCGGGAUCAUGACCUGAGCUGAAGGCAGACGCUCAACCGCUGAGCCACCCGGGUGUCCCAAGUUCCUGCCUAUCUUUCUAACGUAUGUUGUAUGAGGGAAAUGAAAUUACCGAGGCCAACAGGUAGUGUGGUGGCCAGACAAGGAUGCAAACCCAGCAAGGCCGUGGACCCUCCCUCCCCAGCCCUGGGAAAGAGCCAAGUUUCAAAGCCCUGCCUGUGGCACCCCUAUGUCCUUCCCUGUCGAAUCUCAUGACGAAUCCAGGAGGCAGGAGUUACCACCACUUCCAUUCUAAGGAUGAGAAACAUCGAAGCACAGAGAAGUCAAGUGACUUCUCCAAAGCCACAUAGCAAAGGAAUGACAUAACAAAGCCACAUAGCAAAAUUAGAUCCGGGGUUUCCAGCUUCCAGGUAACAUUUCCCACCCUCUCUAGCUCAUUGGCACAAUCCUCUCUUCCUUCCACUCGCUGAAAGGCAGGCAUCCUCAAAGUUCCUCUCCUGGCUCACUUCUACUUUCUUCCCUCAAACGGUUUUGUGGUGAGUUCCUUUCACAUGCAGGUAGCUCCUCUUUGCAGACGCUGGGCCCUCCCACUGUCCCAAGCCAGUGUCUGAAGCUCAGAGCGCUCCUCCCCAUCCCACCGCAGACACGGGGCGUCUCUGAUGGGUUUCUGAUGGGAACCAGCAGAAGUAGAUAAGGCCACAGCUGGCUGAGGCCUGGCCACCAUGUUUGCUUCAUCAAGAACUGCGCCCACCUGCCUGCAUCGCUCCAGACCCUCGGCGUGAUCAGAACUGGAAAACAGGCUCCCUACUCUGGGAGGAAGUGGUAUACAGACUCGGAACGUUUCAGGACCUGCUAGCACAGGGAAAGAGGCUGAGGAGGACCGAUGCUGAAUCCUGGUGGCUCUAGAGCCAAGUCCCAUGGCACAGGGCUCACGCUUCUGCUAGAGUCCCGCGGGGCCAGGCAAAUGUGCUGCCAGGAGAGCCCCUGGAAACCUCCACACAACAGCCUUCAGUAAAUGACACAGAGGUGCCACAGCACAUGGAGGAAGGGCUUGAAGGCCAGAGGGACUCAUAGACCAGAGAACCUACCACUUGGACAACUCCCAGGGACGGGCAUGGAAGAUAGUCCGUCAGCAUCUUGGAGAGGCUCCGUGGCCACGCCUUCUGCGGGCCUGGGCUGACGGGACAGAUGGGUGCCUCAGCACAUGGAGGGAUGGCGUGCCCUCAGACCGAGCAUCACGUGUCAGAGGCGAGAGGGACAUUUCUCCUGCGACCUCUCCAAAGGGACCGGAGGCUCUUCCCCAGAGCCCAU